rnacentral:rRNA from 1 species
AGGUUACUGCUAUCGAGGUUCGACUAAGCCAUGCGAGUCGAAUGUAGCAAUACAUGGCGUACUGCUCAGUAACACGUGGACAACCUACCCUUAAGCCUGGGAUAACCCCGGGAAACUGGGAAUAAUACCGGAUAUAUCGCGAAUGCUGGAAUGCGUCGCGAUAGAAAGCUCCGGCGCCUAAGGAUGGGUCUGCGGCCUAUCAGGGUAGUAGUGGGUGUAAUGUACCUACUAGCCUACGACGGGUACGGGUUGUGAGAGCAAGAGCCCGGAGAUGGAUUCUGAGGCACGAAUCCAGGCCCUACGGGGUGCAGCAGGCGCGAAAACUUUACAAUGCUGGCAACAGCGAUAAGGGGACCUCGAGUGCCAGGAUACAAUCCUGGCUGUCGUAAUGCCUAAAAAGCAUUGCAUAGCAAGGGCCGGGCAAGACCGGUGCCAGCCGCCGCGGUAACACCGGCGGCUCGAGUGGUAACCGUUAUUAUUGGGUCUAAAGGGUCUGUAGUCGGCCGGAUAAGUCUCUUGGGAAAUCCAGCAGCUCAACUGUUGGGCUUUCAGGAGAUACUGUCUGGCUCGAGGCCGGGAGAGGUGAGAGGUACUUCAGGGGUAGGGGUGAAAUCUUGUAAUCCUUGAAGGACCACCAGUGGCGAAGGCGUCUCACCAGAACGGACCUGACGGCAAGGGACGAAAGCUAGGGGCACGAACCGGAUUAGAUACCCGGGUAGUCCUAGCCGUAAACGAUACUCGCUAGGUGUCGGCCACGGUGCGACCGUGGUCGGUGCCGUAGGGAAGCCGUGAAGCGAGCCACCUGGGAAGUACGGCCGCAAGGCUGAAACUUAAAGGAAU